rnacentral:misc_RNA from 1 species
AACGCAUCUUGCACCCUUUGGCAUUCCUUAGGGUAUGCCUGUUUGAGUGUCUUUAACGACAUCAACGUGACACCUCUCGGGUGGACGUUGGACGUGAGCGCUGCCGUGAUUCGUUUCGCCGGCUCGCUUGAAAAGCGUUAAGCCCGAUCUUCAGUGGUCCUAUUCCGUCAGGUUGGUGUGAUAGAGCUCCCACGAGUUGUGAAUCGCCUCUCGGACGGAUGUGACCUUUGGACGGUUGAGCUUCUCGAUGGCCCACGUCUUUUGUGGUGCUUCUUGAAUCGGACCUCAAAUCAGGUAGGACUACCCGCUGAACUUAA